rnacentral:lncRNA from 11 species
UAGCUAGGCAACAGCUAGUUCAAGAUUGCUCUGUGCCUUGUUCAUAAUCUUUGCUUGUUCUGUGCAGUUGAUGGGAAAGUGGAAUUGGAACCAUUCAUGAGAGGUGUCAAAGACAUCUUGAGAAAUCAAAAAACUGGUAAAACUGUGGAAAUCAGCACCUUGGAGUCUGUCUUGGCUGAUAUGGGGCUUUUCCUAACUCAGGAUGAGGUACAGCAGGCUCUCGGUCAGACAACAGUGAAUAAGGAUGGGAAUGUGGAUUUGAAAGACUUCAUGUGGGCUAUCCAGAGUAUCCCCAGUAUGCAAGACAAACAAGUGCAAGUUGAUAACUUGGAUGCUGUACUGGGUGGCAUGGGGAUCUACCUAAACCAAGAAGAACUGCAGGAUGCACUGAAGCUGACAAAGCAUUAUGAGAAUGAGAUGGUGAAUUUGAAAGAUUUCAUCAGGGCUUGCAAUGCCACACUAACCCUCUCCGGCAUUGAUGGAUACCCAAGAAAAAUGCCAGGUGCAAAGUCUCUGAAGUUGCCUAAGGUUGUAGAAAAACACAACCGUCCCCUAAUUCCUGGCAGAAUGAUCUCUUCUGUGACUCUUUCUGAGGUGGCCUCAUUAAAAGGAGUUAAAGAUCUAACUAAGCC